GUCAUGUUGGUAUAGUGGUUAGCGAGUAAGGCUACCAUUCUAAUGGUCAGAGGUUCGAUCCCCACAAUCGACA
rnacentral:tRNA from 1 species